GACGAACGCUGGCGGCGUGCUUAAUACAUGCAAGUCGAACGGAAAGGCCCUGCUUUUGUGGGGUGCUCGAGUGGCGAACGGGUGAGUAACACGUGAGUAACCUGCCCUUGACUUUGGGAUAACUUCAGGAAACUGGGGCUAAUACCGGAUAGGAGCUCCUGCUGCAUGGUGGGGGUUGGAAAGUUUCGGCGGUUGGGGAUGGACGCGCGGCUUAUCAGCUUGUUGGUGGGGUAGUGGCUUACCAAGGCUUUGACGGGUAGCCGGCCUGAGAGGGUGACCGGCCACAUUGGGACUGAGAUACGGCCCAGACUCCUACGGGAGGCAGAAGUGGGGAAUAUUGCACAAUGGGCGGAAGCCUGAUGCAGCAACGCCGCGUGCGGGAUGACGGCCUUCGGGUUGUAAACCGCUUUCGCCUGUGACGAAGCGUGAGUGACGGUAAUGGGUAAAGAAGCACCGGCUAACUACGUG
rnacentral:rRNA from 1 species